rfam:Schistosoma curassoni strain Dakar, Senegal genome assembly, scaffold: SCTD_scaffold0005714
AACUUUUUGAAUCCAUGCAAAGAUUUUAUCAGACAGCAACCUAUUAGAGUUGAUCAAACUUUCAAGAUAAGUGAAGUU